rnacentral:misc_RNA from 1 species
AACGCACCUUGCGCCCCUUGGUAUUCCGAGGGGCAUGCCUGUUUGAGUGUCAUUAAAUUCUCAACCUUUACUAGCUUUUUGUGAGCUAUGUAAUGGCUUGGAUGUGGGGGUUUUUUUGCUGGCUUCGAAAGAAAUCAGCUCCCCUGAAAUAUAUUAGCUGGUGCCCCCGCGUGGACCGUCUACUGGUGUGAUAAUUAUCUAUGCCGUUAGAUGUCUGCUUUAAAUAAUGGGGAUGCGCUGCUUCUAAUCGUCCACUUAGGACAAUUAUUGACUAUUUGACCUCAAAUCAGGUAGGACUACCCGCUGAACUUAA